UACAGAGGGUGCAAGCGUUAAUCGGAAUUACUGGGCGUAAAGCGCACGUAGGCGGACAUUUAAGUCGGAUGUGAAAUCCCCGGGCUUAACCUGGGAACUGCAUUCGAGACUGAGUGUCUAGAGUAUGGUAGAGGAAAGUAGAAUUUCCGGUGUAGCGGUGAAAUGCGUAGAUAUCGGAAGGAAUACCAGUGGCGAAGGCGGCUUUCUGGACCAAUACUGACGCUGAGGUGCGAAAGCGUGGGGAG
rnacentral:rRNA from 1 species